UGUUAAAAAUUUUAUCUAUUUCUACUGUUAAAAAUUAGUGUGGCUACCUCAUUCUGACGUAUAAGGACCAGUUUUUAACAGUAGAGAUGGAUAAAUUUUUUAAUA
rfam:Gossypium arboreum cultivar AKA8401 contig_464_3, whole genome shotgun sequence.